rnacentral:misc_RNA from 1 species
GAGGAUGGGGUGGAGCCGUAGAGGGUGAGGUUGGUGUCUGGGUCGGUGGUGGAGCUGAAGAUGGACUUGCGGGUGAGGAGGCGGAGGAGCCGAAAGAGGGUGGGGACCUCGGUCGCCGGAAUGUUGAGCUGUGUGGCGAGUUCGGUGAGGGAGAGGGGCUUCGAAUGUAUGGCGUCGGCUAUGCUGAGCUCGACAGCAGCUCCGAGAACCAUGGAGUCCAC